rnacentral:rRNA from 1 species
CCUACGGGCGGCAGCAGUGAGGAAUAUUGGUCAAUGGGCGGAAGCCUGAACCAGCCAAGUCGCGUGCAGGAUGACGGCCCUACGGGUUGUAAACUGCUUUUAUACGGGAAUAACGAGCCUUACGUGUACGGCUUUGCAUGUACCCUGUGAAUAAGGACCGGCUAAUUCCGUGCCAGCAGCCGCGGUAAUACGGAAGGUCCGGGCGUUGUCCGGAUUUAUUGGGUUUAAAGGGUGCGUAGGCCGCAUGUCAAGCGUGCGGUGAAAUUUCCGGGCUCAACCCGGGCCUUGCAGCGCGAACUGGCGUGCUUGAGUCCGCGGAAAGCAGGCGGAAUGCGUCGUGUAGCGGUGAAAUGCUUAGAUAUGACGAAGAACCCCGAUUGCGAAGGCAGCUUGCUGCAGCGGAACUGACGCUGAUGCUCGAAAGCGCGGGUAUCGAACAGGAUUAGAUACCCCUGUAGUC